rnacentral:rRNA from 1 species
CCCUUAGAUGCUCUGGGCCGCACGCGCGCUACACUGGUCGAUGCAACGAGUUUCUUUCCUUGGCCGACAGGCCUGGGCAAUCUUUGAACAUCGAUCGUGAUCGGGAUAGAUUCUUGUAAUUUUUGAUCUUAAACGAGGAAUUCCUAGUAAACGCAAGUCAUCAGCUUGCAUUGAUUACGUCCCUGCCCUUUGUACACACCGCCCGUCGCACCUACCGAUCGAAGAGUUAGGUGAAUUGUUUUGAUCGAUAAGAUUUGACUAUGGUCAACUCUCGUUGUGAAAUUCUGUGAAUCUGACUGUUUAGAGGAAGGAAAAGUCGUAACA